CCUACGGGAGGCAGCAGUGGGGAAUAUUGCACAAUGGGGGAAACCCUGAUGCAGCGACGCCGCGUGAGCGAAGAAGUAUUUCGGUAUGUAAAGCUCUAUCAGCAGGGAAGAAAAUGACGGUACCUGACUAAGAAGCACCGGCUAAAUACGUGCCAGCAGCCGCGGUAAUACGUAUGGUGCAAGCGUUAUCCGGAUUUACUGGGUGUAAAGGGUGAGUAGGCGGUCAUGCAAGUCAUAUGUGAAAUGUCAGGGCUUAACCUUGGCGCUGCAUAAGAAACUGUAUGACUAGAGUGCAGGAGAGGAAAGGGGAAUUCCCAGUGUAGCGGUGAAAUGCGUAGAUAUUGGGAGGAACACCAGUGGCGAAGGCGCCUUUCUGGACUGUGUCUGACGCUGAGAUGCGAAAGCCAGGGUAGCGAACGGGAUU
rnacentral:rRNA from 1 species